rnacentral:rRNA from 1 species
CAGUCGCCGCGGGAAUACGAAGGGGGCUAGCGUUGUUCGGAAUUACUGGGCGUAAAGCGCACGCAGGCGGUCUGUCAAGUCAGAUGUGAAAUCCCCGGGCUUAACCUGGGAACUGCAUUUGAAACUGGCAGGCUAGAGUCUUGUAGAGGGGGGUAGAAUUCCAGGUGUAGCGGUGAAACGCGUAGAGAUCUGGAGGAAUACCGGUGGCGAAGGCAGCCCCCUGGGCCAAUACUGACGCUCAUGCACGAAAGCGUGGGGAGCAAGCAGGAUUAGAGACCCCUGUAGUCCCUGUCUCUUAUAA